CAACUCCCCCCUUGGAGCUGGGUGCCCAGUGGUAGGGCUGGUGCCUGAACACGUGGAGGAAUGACCCGAUGUUCCCCAAGCUCUCCCCUGGACUGGCACAAGGAGCCCCAGCCUGCAGGCCAUGUGGGCAGCAGUCAGGUGGACACAGCGGAGCCCCAGCCCAGGCCCUGACUCCAGUGCCCAUCACACACCUGCUGCGGGGACCCCUUCCUAGGCCACCCCGCGGGGCCCUUCCUCUGGACCCAAUGGGGCCUCCUCCUCCUCCACCUGCAAGGGUCAGGGCUGCCUGGGCAAAGACGAAGAAGGAGGACUGGAGGAGGAAGAGGCCAAGUGCUAGUCCAUCUGGUGUGUGUCCCUCAUCACUAUCCCCCAGUUCCCGACUCUGCAGCCAGAGGCCUCCCUGACCCGUCAUCGGAGCCUGGGCUCUGCCUGCAAAAGGGUUCAGCGUUCAGCGGCCACCGGUGUCAGCACAAAAUAAACUCGGAGCCAGGCCCACUGGAGUCCAGCGCGUGUCUGUGCCAGGACUGGCCUGACACUACUCCGGUGCAGGAGCGCGCCAGUGGCUUCACCUCCCUGAGCCUCAGCUUCCUCCGUGUAAAGCAGAAUCAACGCAUCUAGCAAAGCUCGCUGAACAGGGAUAGAGGCCCUGGUGCCUGUGGAGGCCUCCACACAACCCCCCAUGUGUCCUGACCUCACUCCGCGCCGGUGUGCUCUCCGCACAUCUGUGCUUCUGCACCUGCACGUGUGACAAUCACUCAUUCCUGGCUCCCACACCCACCUCCCUCAGCCUCCACGUGGAUGUCCCCACAUCGUGCUAUGUGGAUGAUAGAGGUUGGGGGUCCUGGGGACCAGAACCUCAUCAUCAGUCUCUUAAGUCUCCCUAGCCUUGGGUCCUCAGGGCUUGGUGCACACAUCACGGUUUAUAUCCAGGUGUCCCUCCGAUGCCGCCUGCAUACUAGCAUGGAUGUGGAACGCGUGUUACUGGAUUGGUCCGCACAUGGGUUUGUAGCUGAGUGUGACGUUGGGAGGUGAAAGCUGAUUGGAAGAAGUGCUCACUGGGGGCGUGGCCUGAAAGGGCUUGGCUACCUCCUCCUCCCUUGAUCUCUCUCUGCUUCCUGCCUGCCACGCCAAGAGCUGUUUCUCUUCUGUGAUGCCUCCUCUGCCCUGCUACCCUGCUUGGGAGCCAACCAACUGUGGACUGAAGCCUCUACCAUCUCUAAGCCAAAAUAAACCUUUGCUCCUUUAAUUUGUGGGUGCUGGGUCUUUUGUCCCAGCAGCGAGAAAGUUACUGACGCCCCACAUCUUGUACACAAGACCCUUACCCUGCUGUACAGC